rnacentral:rRNA from 1 species
UACGUAGGGUGCAGGCGUUAAUCGGAAUUACUGGGCGUAAAGCGUGCGUAGACGGUUAUUUAAGUCAGGUGUGAAAGCCCCGGGCUCAACCUGGGAAUUGCAUUUGAGACUGAAUAGCUAGGGUGCGGAAGAGGGAAGCGGAAUUUCCGGUGUAGCGGUGAAAUGCGUAGAUAUGCGGAGGAACACCGAUGGCGAAGGCAAUCCCCUGGGCCUGCACUGACGCUCAUGCACGAAAGCGUGGGGAGCAAACAGG